rnacentral:rRNA from 1 species
CCUACGGGAGGCAGCAGUAGGGAAUAUUGCACAAUGGGGGAAAGCCUGAAGCAGCAACGCCGCGUGGGGGAUGAAGGUUUUAGGAUUGUAAACCCCUGUUGUGAGAGAAGAUAAUGACGGUAUCUCACGAAUAAGCACCGGCUAACUCCGUGCCAGCAACCGCGGGAAUACGGAGGGUGCAAGCGUGACUCGGAAUCAAUGGGCGUAAAGGGUGCGCAGGCGGGCUUGUAAGUAAGAUGUGAAAUCCUGUAGCGUAACUAGAGAACUGCAUUUGAAACUAUGAGUCUAGAGUGUGGGAGAGGUAGGUGGAACUCUUGGUGUAGCGGUGAAAUCCGUAGAUAUCAAGAGGAAUACUCAUUGCGAAGGCGACCUACUGGAACAUUACUGACGCUGAUGCACGAAAGCGUGGGUAGCAAACAGGAUUAGAUACCCUGGUAGUC